rnacentral:rRNA from 1 species
GUCCACGCCGUAAACGAUGGAUACUAGCUGUUGGGGGCAACUUCAGUGGCUAAGCGAAAGUGAUAAGUAUCCCACCUGGGGAGUACGUUCGCAAGAAUGAAACUCAAAAGGAAUUGACGGGGGCCCGCACAAGCGGUGGAGCAUGUGGUUUAAUUCGAUGAUACGCGAGGAACCUUACCAAGGCUUAAAUGUAGAUUGAUCGGUUUUGGAAACAGACUUUUCGCAAGACAAUUUACAAGGUGCUGCAUGGUUGUCGU